ensembl:lncRNA
GAACAGACGCCGUAGUGUAGCAGGCAGCAGGCAGUCAGUUGAUCAGUAACGGAAAGCGGCACAGAUAAUAUCGGUUUGUCUCACGCGUGCCUGCUGUUAAACACUUGACGUAAUUCUCUCUUCUCUGCUCUAAUCUGGAGAGAGGGAGAGAAAGAGAGAAGAGGACAGAGAAUGAGAGAGAGAGAGAGAGGGCAAAACUGAGGAAUGGUGAAUUAGAGGAAUUGACGGAGGAGUAGAGACGUUUAUUCCGGCUGGUUACCUCUGUUCUAGUGACGAGAGAGAGCCGACAGCCCGAUAUACAGGCGGAUUUACCUUCCUCCAACACGGCUCCAGACCAGUGGCUCACCUUCGCUCAACCUGCCCGCCCAGCAGCGCCCUCAUCCCGGCUAGAGGUCCAGGAGCUGUCCUGAAAACGUCGCCUCCCCCCGUGUGUCCUGCGUUGUGAUUGGUGUAGAGAGAGUUCCACUAUGUCAGGCUGACCUUCCUGACCCUCUGUGACCCUCACCAUGGUGACAUGACAGACCUUAGUGUUCCCCACCACAUCCAUGUUAGAAACCCUUCAUAGAGACACACACAUACACACCCUGACACACAUACACCUUGACAUACACACACACACACCCUGACACACAUACACCCUGACAUACACACACACACACCCUGACACACACACACACCCUGACACACACACACAUUGACACACACACACCCUGACACACACACACCUUGACACACACACACCUUGACACACACACACCCUGACACAGACAGACCCUGACACACACACACACACACACACACACCCUGACACACAUACACCUUGACAUACACACACACACACCCUGACACACACACACCUUGACAUACACACACACACACACACACACACACACACACACACACACACACACACACACACACACACACACACACACACCUUGACACACACACACACCCAUCGACACACACACCCUGACAUACACAUGUAUACAUCGCGACCCUCCAGGUAGUGAUGUCGUUAGCGGUGCAUGUCCGUCGCCACCUGCGGCGCUUCCUCCUCCUCCUCGCCUCUGGCUCCCUGCUAGGCUCCGCCUACUUCCUAUUCUCUCACUCCGCCCCCACUCUACAGCUCAACCAAUCAGGAGAGCACGUUGCUGUGGCGUGCCCCCUGCCCUUUCCAACUCCCUACAGAUCCCCCAACACACACACCGACAGACGAUCCGACCGGGACACACACACCGACAGACGAUCCGACCGGGACACACACACCGACAGACGUUCCGACCGACAGACGA